CUUCCUUCUCCGUCCCGCGGGGAGCUUCGCGCCACAGCGUCCUUACCGGAAGUGCCUGGGCAGACACUUUUCAUAGCUCCCAGAUCCUGAAGACCCCGGGUCCGACGGACUUGAGCAACCAGUAACAGCCAGCAGGACCUCAGGGAGGAGAGACGUCUCCAGAAUCUCCAGAGCCCCACCCAGCAGCUGUGGACACAGGCUGUCUCUCAGGCCAGACAUGAACAUAUUUGGUAGCUCAGGUAAACUGUAUUUCAGUUCUCCUGCCUCAGGCUCCCAGGCAGCUUAUAUGUUGAAUGACAUACUUGUGGAAAGUCUCCAAGAAACGUCCCUGAGUUUUAUGGGAAAAAAUAAUAACUUUUUCCUUAAGUAACUAAUAAUUAUCUUUCUUUCGGCAUCUUAUAAUCUAAUGUUGUGUCAGGCCAACCCUCCCUCCCAUAUUUAGCAUAUCUUAAUAAGGAUAUGGAAUUUUAAUAAUUUUUUUCUUAAGUGUACAUUUUGUUACACAAAUCAAGUUAAAUAGCACCGUGUCAUGAGAGGACUGGGUUUUAGUCUUAGACCCUCAGACCAAUUUUUGUUGUUGUUGUUUUGAGACAGGGUUUCUCUGUGUAGUCCUGGCUGUCCUGGAAUUUGCUCUGUAUACCAGGCUGGCCUUGAACUCUCAGAGAUCUGCCUGCCUCUGACUUCCGAGUGCUGAGUUUAAAGGCAUGCCUGCCCUCCCCCCGUUUUUGGCUCAGACCAAUUUUAAGAAGAGAAAAAAAUAUGUUAUAUGAAAUGUCUUUUUUUAGCCGGGCAGUGGUGGCACACGCUUUUAAUCCCAGCACUCGGGAGGCAGAGGCAGGUGAAGUUACACAGCGAAACCCUGUCUCGAAAAAACCAAAAAACAAAAAAAAGUAGAAAAAAAAAAGAAAUGUCUUUUUUUUUU